UAAUAAAAAGAAAAGAUGCCAAGGACUCUGUGGCUCAGGAAAUUGGUCUCAAUUCACCAUCUCAAUUCACCCAUUCUUAAACUGGAACAUGGGUCAAGCUACCCCAUGCCUCGCAACCACCUACCACCACCAGACUAUUGCUUAAAAAAUAUACUCAGGCCCUUCCACCUUUGCUGGGCAAGAAGCAAGGAAUCAGGAGUCUGGCGGAGCAGAAACUCAGCUUAUGUGGGAAAAGGAAAAGAAUCAGAGAUGAAAGGCUCCAGGACACUUAAGCCAACGUGGACAAACAGCUGCAGAGGGAGGAGAGUGGUUGCAGAGGGAGAAGGAGGCAAUCCAGCAUGAGGAGAGAAUGGCGACACAGUUCUUGGAACAUGACCAGAGGUUGAGGGGAGGAUGACAGAGUGCAGCAGAAGGACGUUGCUCACUCUCAUGGUCACCAGGUUAUAGGCCCCAGCUCCAGCUAGUGUCCGAAAUUCAUGCAUUGAGUCCCCACCAUGCUCCCACAUCUUGCAGCCUAGGCAGCUAAUGGAUGAUUCUGGGGUUGGCUGGACCAUGACCCAAGCAAUGAACAGUUUGUGGAACAAUCAAAUGUACCCUGUGCAACAGUCCACCCUGUGCAAUUGGGGCUCACAUGUGCAGCAUGCUUCAGAAGGGCAAGGAGAAAAGGCACAUAUGGGGCAUACGGUUCUGCAACCAGUGAGACGUAGCGGUGGCUCUGUAUAUAGUUUGGCAUUGUGGCACUUUUGUUGCUUCAGUUGUUUAUUUAGCCCUUUUUUUGUUUUAUUGUCUUUUGCCUCUUGCUGGCAGCUGGGCUGCCAAUAAGAUUUCUAAUUGUGAUUUAAAUACUUGUUUCAAAUAAAGUGUUUUGUCUGAAAACAA